rnacentral:rRNA from 1 species
GAGUUUGAUCCUGGCUCAGGACGAACGCUGGCGGCGUGCUUAACACAUGCAAGUCGAGCGGAAAGGCCUUUCGGGGUACUCGAGCGGCGAACGGGUGAGUAACACGUGAGUAACCUGCCCCAGUCUUUGGGAUAACCCUCGGAAACGAGGGCUAAUACCGGAUACGACCUUGGACCGCAUGGUCUUUUGGUGGAAAGUUUUUCGGUCUGGGAUGGGCUCGCGGCCUAUCAGCUUGUUGGUGGGGUGAUGGCCUACCAAGGCGACGACGGGUAGCCGGCCUGAGAGGGCGACCGGCCACACUGGGACUGAGACACGGCCCAGACUCCUACGGGAGGCAGCAGUGGGGAAUAUUGCACAAUGGGCGGAAGCCUGAUGCAGCGACGCCGCGUGAGGGAUGACGGCCUUCGGGUUGUAAACCUCUUUCAGCAGGGACGAAGCGGGAGUGACGGUACCUGCAGAAGAAGCGCCGGCCAACUACGUGCCAGCAGCCGCGGUAAGACGUAGGGCGCGAGCGUUGUCCGGAUUUAUUGGGCGUAAAGAGCUCGUAGGCGGCUUGUCGCGUCGUCCGUGAAAACCUGCAGCUCAACUGCAGGCUUGCGGUCGAUACGGGCAGGCUAGAGUUCGGUAGGGGAGACUGGAAUUCCUGGUGUAGCGGUGAAAUGCGCAGAUAUCAGGAGGAACACCGGUGGCGAAGGCGGGUCUCUGGGCCGAUACUGACGCUGA